rnacentral:lncRNA from 1 species
UAUAAAUGAGUGGAGAAGUUCCAGAAUUUUUGGAUCCAACAGGGCCAUGAAUUGUAUAUUUUUUAAAAAACACUGGAAACAAUUCGGAACAUAUCCAUUUUACAGAGUAAGGCAUUGGCUAGUGUUUCUAUGUUAGAUCUAGGGGUAAAGAUGAGAAACCUGUCUACUUCAAGCGUCAAGUCCCUAACCAAGAACAGCUCACCAUUUCGUGUGUUCCAUACCCUGAAGGAACCUCCAGCCUCCACUGUCUUUGCUGAGCUUACCGAAUUUUUCCCAUUCUCUUGAAGAAGGGCAAUUUUUGAAGGCACUUCUGGAGUCCCUGUGGGUUAUUGGGAAUCCCUGCAGGUCUCCUUUCUACUCUCAUUGCUGCUGAUUUCACCAUCACCAACACCAAGUCUCCCUACCCAAGGUUUCUCAGCUGAAGAUGUGUUUUCCUCUGCUAAAGCAGGCUCAUGGAGAUAAGUGCGCCCACCAGGGCAGAAGAGGGUGGAGCUAGCCUACUUCCUUGUACAGCCCACAGAAGCCCACCGGAGCUCCAGCUGUCCCCGGGCUGGAUUAAACUUCUUCAAGGGACAACACAAGGCAACAUUUUCCUGAGGAAUUCCAGCCAGCAUGAACUCUCUCACAUAGCACCCUCCUCAAACAGGGCAUGGACUUAUUGCUGAGGACAGUCCCUCACAUUAGUUUUCCAACUCUGAGACAGGGCCACAGGAAGGCCAAACCCAAAGUGAGUUCUCAAAUGCUCUUGAGGGCAGGGUGCUGGGCAUCACGGUACAAUAUGGGCAGUCAACACAGACAACCAAAGGGUCCACCAUGGCCUGGACCCCUGGGUAGCUGUAUGAUUACUGCAGGGCACAUCCAGGAAACUCUGUGAGUGCCCAGAUGGGCCUGCUGUCUCAUUCAUAUAGGACAGCUGGCUCCUAAAUGUCUCUGGAAAUGGAUGUGAUGAAUGAAACAUAUGUGA